rnacentral:rRNA from 1 species
GACGAACGCUGGCGGCGUGCUUAACACAUGCAAGUCGAACGGAAAGGCCCUGCUUUUGUGGGGUGCUCGAGUGGCGAACGGGUGAGUAACACGUGAGUAACCUGCCCUUGACUUUGGGAUAACUUCAGGAAACUGGGGCUAAUACCGGAUAGGAGCUCCUGCUGCAUGGUGGGGGUUGGAAAGUUUCGGCGGUUGGGGAUGGACUCGCGGCUUAUCAGCUUGUUGGUGGGGUAGUGGCUUACCAAGGCUUUGACGGGUAGCCGGCCUGAGAGGGUGACCGGCCACAUUGGGACUGCGGUACGGCCCAGACUCCUACGGGAGGCAGCGGUGGGGAAUAUUGCACAACGGGCGGAAGCCUGAUGCAGCAACGCCGCGUGCGGAAUGACGGCCUUCGGGUUGUAAACCGCUUUCGCCUGUGACGAAGCGUGAGUGACGGUAAUGGGUAAAGAAGCACCGGCUAACUACGUG